GGCCUCGCGGUUUUACCAUGUUGUUGAGAAUAAUUUGGGUUUCUAAAAUGUGCUCCUGAAAUGACAUCAGGAGCCAAACCGUAAAAACGGAAAAUCUGCUUCAACACAACCUUUGAACCCGCGAGAAGAGUGAAGAGAAAAAUAAAAAGUAUUUCCAUUUUCAUUUCAUCUCCCUCCAUGGAAGAGGAUACUGAGGUACUUUCCGGUGGUCUCAAGGACUGGAAUGACCUCCGACCCUUUAAUCUUGAUUCCCGGCCAACCCUCAAAACCUAUUCAAAACAAUGGUCUAUGGUUGUUAUUAGAGAGUCCUCCCAUGAGAAUCACGGCGACGAUGAUUUCUCCAUUUUCCCUCCAUGUAACCAUGAGAAUCUCGUUCCCUGUCAUUUCAAUCAACAACCAAAAAACCAACCACCCCCUCCCCAGUUCUUGCCUUCGUCUCCUUUAUCAUUUCUUCCUCCCGAUUUUGACCCUUCACCAUCGCCAUCGGAGUCUGCCUUCUUGCCCAAUUGGUGGGAUUUUGCUCGUAAGAUCUUGCGUUCGAGAAUCGCUAAUAUUGGGUCCUACUUUGGAUCUAAUAAUAGUUAUAAUAAAAGUUCGUUUUGGACAUUUGGAAAUGUUGCUUUGGCGGUGACGGUGGUCUUGUGGUGGUUGUGUGUGCGAGUAAGGCGGCAGAGGCGGAGGAGAAAGAUUGUGGAGCAUUUGAUGCAGAUUAUCAGUGAGAAAGAUAAGAAGAUUAUGCAGCUCCUGAAUCAAAUCGCUCAAAUGAACGAAGUACUGCUAACUAGACACAAAGUUUUGGCUUCAAAACUGGCUGAUUAAUGGAUGUUGAUUCAUUGGCAAUUCUUUUUGUUGCCUGCUGCAUUGUUGCUAGCGAGCCAAAGCAUUUGAAGUUGACAAUACCUAGAUCCUCUUUUGAGCCUAAUUCUUGGUGUAGUAGUUGAACAGCGCAAAAUGCCAAUAUGGCGGACCACAAAGGUUUGCAUUGCAAUCAACAGAAUGGAAGAUGUAGCUAAGCAAAGGAGCACCAUUUUGGCUGUCGAGGAUAGGAAAAUAUCUGAUGUUUCAAGCCAUCUGAAUAUGUUUGUAGAUUCUUAUUCUUUGUCCAUAAUUCUGUACCUGGAUUGACAUAUUUAGUGUAGUUUAAUGGGGCUUCAUGAUUUGUGAUUUUACAUUUUUUUUUCAAGUUUCAUGUUUACUUAUUUUUUUCUUGGGUCUCUGAUAGUAUUGAUAAUAUGGUAGGAUCCACUCCUAGUAGCUAUCCUGCCGAUCUAGAUUUUGUAAUCCUUCAAAUGAUUUAAAAGGGAGACCAAGCUGUUCAAAC
rnacentral:misc_RNA from 1 species